ACUCCUACGGGAGGCAGCAGUGGGGAAUCUUGGACAAUGGGGGCAACCCUGAUCCAGCCAUGCCGCGUGAGUGAUGAAGGCCUUAGGGUCGUAAAGCUCUUUCGCCUGUGAAGAUAAUGACGGUAGCAGGUAAAGAAACCCGCGUACAUCCGUGCCAGCAGCCGCGGUAAUACGGAGGGGGUUAGCGUUGUUCGGAAUUACUGGGCGUAAAGCGCACGUAGGCGGAUCGGAAAGUUGGGGGUGAAAUCCCGGGGCUCAA
rnacentral:rRNA from 1 species